rnacentral:rRNA from 1 species
AUGAUCCCAAUAACUUGGUCGUUUGCAACUUGGGGGCUCGAUAUGGUUGGACCUUUUAAGAGGUCCAAGGAUAGGAAGACUCACCUGUUGGUAGCAGUUGAUAAGUUUACCAAGUGGGUAGAGGCAGAGCCAGUCAGUAAGUGUGAUGCAGCCACGGCGGUUCAAUUCAUCAAAAAGGUGAUAUUCCGCUUUGGUUUUCCACACAGCAUUAUCACUGAUAAUGGUACUAAUCUAUCCAAGGGGUCUAUGGAGGAAUUUUGUCAACGAGAGCACAUCCGACUUGACGUGUCAUCAAUGGCUCACCCCCAAUCUAAUGGCUAG